rnacentral:rRNA from 1 species
GACGAACGCUGGCGGCGUGCUUAACACAUGCAAGUCGAACGGAAAGGCCCUGCUUUUGUGGGGUGCUCGAGUGGCGAACGGGUGAGUAACACGUGAGUAACCUGCCCUUGACUUUGGGAUAACUUCAGGAAACUGGGGCUAAUACCGGAUAGGAGCUCCUGCUGCAUGGUGGGGGUUGGAAAGUUUCGGCGGUUGGGGAUGGACUCGCGGCUUAUCAGCUUGUUGGUGGGGUAGUGGCUUACCAAGGCUUUGACGGGUAGCCGGCCUGAGAGGGUGACCGGCCACAUUGGGACUGAGAGACGGCCCAGACGCCUACGGGAGGCAGCAGUGGGGAAUAUUGCACAAUGGGCGGAAGCCUGAUGCAGCAACGCCGCGUGCGGGAUGACGGCCUUCGGGUUGUAAACCGCUGUCGCCUGUGACGAAGCGUGAGUGACGGUAAUGGGUAAAGAAGCACCGGCUAACUACGUG